rnacentral:rRNA from 1 species
AUUGAACGCUGGCGGCAGGCCUAACACAUGCAAGUCGAACGAGUGGCGGACGGGUGAGUAAUGUCUGGGAAACUGCCUGAUGGGGGGGGAUAACUACUGGAAACGGUAGCUAAUAUCGCAUACCAUCAGAUGCGCCCUGAUGGGAUUGGCUUGUUAGUGGGGUAACGGCUCACCAAGGCGACGAACCCUAGCUGGUCUGAGAGGAUGACCGGCCCCACGGGAACUGAGACACGGUCAAGCCUCCUACGGGCGGCCGCAGAGGGGAAUAUUGCACAAUGGGCGCAAGCCUGAUGCAGCAAUGCCGCGUGUAUGAAGAAGGCCUUCGGGUUGAAAAGUACUUUCAGCGGGAAGACGUUACCCGCAGAAGAAGCGCCGGCUAACUACGUGCCAGCAGCCGCGGUAAUUC